rnacentral:rRNA from 1 species
GAUGAACGCUGGCGGCGUGCCUAAUACAUGCCAGUCGAGCGAACAGACGAGGAGCUUGCUCCUCUGACGUUAGCGGCGGACGGGUGAGUAACACGUGGAUAACCUACCUAUAAGACUGGGAUAACUUCGGGAAACCGGAGCUAAUACCGGAUAACAUGUUGAACCGCAUGGUUCAACAGUGAAAGACGGUCUUGCUGUCACUUAUAGAUGGAUCCGCGCCGCAUUAGCUAGUUGGUAAGGUACCGGCUUACCAAGGCAACGAUGCGUAGCCGACCUGAGAGGAUGAUCGGCCACACUGGAACUGAGACACGGUCCAGACUCCUACGGGAGGCAGCAGUAGGGAAUCUUCCGCAAUGGGCGAAAGCCUGACGGAGCAACGCCGCGUGAGUGAAGAAGGUCUUCGGAUCGUAAAACUCUGUUAUUAGGGAAGAACAAAUGUGUAAGUAACUAUGCACGUCUUGACGGUACCUAAUCAGAAAGCCACGGCUAACUACGUG